GAGACUGUCAGAGAGCAAUACAAAACUUCUUGUGGAGAGACAGCAGCACCAAACUUUACUCAGGACCCUUACUAUGAGCCCAGGCCUGGAACCACCUUAUUGUGGACAUUUUGAAAAUAAUUUAGUGCUCAAUGGAAACUUUACUCCAGGAGGAAACUUAGUGAUUCCUACCUUGAACCCACGGCCGUCAUAUGACUACUGAGAGACUUCCUUGUGGAAGAUGCAGCGGGAGUUGGAAAAAGAAUAACCAGAGCACUAGAAGAAGCUGCUACCGAAUUUGAAUGAGGAUCCUGUAGAAAUCCUUUAGUAUCUACUGAUGAUUCAAUUCUAAAUCAAGAUCCAGUAUGGAAAGCGCCAC